GCGCCGUGUUUGGAAAUUUUAAAAGUGUACCAGCGUCUGGGUUGUUCGCAUAAAUUGUAUAGAAUUUCAAGAUUUUGAUAGUGUCUCAAUUUGAAUAUAUUGACAUGAUUCAUUUGAAAUCGUGCUAUUACCGAAGAAGGAUAUCUGUUAUCCGAAAUAACUUAUAUUUUUUCAUUUUAUAGUUAUUUAAUGGUGAUGUUGUACCCUUUUUUACUUAUAUAUAUGAUAUGUAGUGAUACAAAUAAAUAUGCUCUGGUUAUCGAGCCUGCGACUUUUGUCGCAGAAAGCUCGACAUACGGAUAGUGGUCCGGCG
rnacentral:lncRNA from 1 species